CCUUCAUUCAGCCUACUGUUUCUCUGAUAUGUGCUGCCCUAAAUUUCCAACUAUCUCCUACCCUAAAUCUUAUUUCGAUGAAUUUGUGGAUGAAUCUGGUUUCUCCAAUCAAGUUCGUCGCCGAUUCGCCAAUCACGACCGCGCAAGAUUCUCCGGCACAACUUUCUUCCAUCUUAAAUCUAAUCAACGUAAGAUUUUCGUUUCGACUGAUAUCGCUAAUUGAUUCUUAGGCUUUUGCAUCUUCUUUGUCGCACCAUCUGGCUAUCUCUCUAUGGCAAUUCAAGAAUAUGAAGGCCAUUCAAGGAGAUUAGUGAAAAUUUUACCAGAUCAAUGAAGAAUCUAACAUCUACGGUUUCGAUUUACAGAUAAUCAGAAAGAUCUAUGCACAAUAUUGAAGGUGUUGCUAGUGGUGGAGUUGAUAAGGGUGGUCAUUUAUGCAGCGUUUGAAGUGAGAUGAUGGUUUAAAUUCAUUUUGCAAAUCUUGGUUGAAGAUAAGCCCUUCGCAGUGGCUAAAUGGCGGACACAUUAUAACAAAUUUUCAUCUGGAUCGUAUCUGAAGAAGACGAAACAAGAGACACGACUUGUAGUUAGAAGAGAAGGUGAGAGAAUCACGAAUUAAAACCAUGGAUCUGAUGAAAAUUUCAAAUCAAUUUACCUUGUACAGAUGAUCAUUUUGCUACAAUGGCUAGGCAAACUAUCUAUAUUUUUAUAUGUGGGUGGAUAAUUGCAUGCUAAGGUGAAAAAAAUGACAGGGUAGGUUGUUUCAGAAGCCAAAGUGGAGCAUUUCUGGUUUCUAUGUGUAUGAUGAUAAACACAAAGCGAGUCCGGAUACUCAAAUAAAGAAGUACAUCAAUAAAGCAAGGUAAAUUCCUAGCAUCUCAGUUGAUCCUAAUAGGGAUGAGCAUGUUACCCGUUCGAUACCGAAAAGCAGGGAAAAUUGGUACCGGCAUCGGUACCAUUUAUCGGGGAAAAUGGGUACUGGUACCACAUAUACCCGGUACGGUUCGGUACCGGUACCCGGUACAAAAUGCUCAUCCCUACAUGCUAAGGUAGUGCCUCAUGUAUUGAGCUCUUUGUGUUCCUUUGAACUAGACGGUUGCCAGCAGGGUCCUUGAUUUGAAAAAAAGUAGUAACAAUGACCUGGUAUGUUGGUUCCUCUUUACCUUUCUUCGACAUAGGAUAUUAUAAUUAACCAUUUUGUAUAUAACAUAAAUAACCCUUAUAUAUGUUUACGUCACUGAAAACCAAAAACCUGGUUCUUAGUGAAGAAAUUAUUUCUACUUGCGUGUUGAAGUAAGUGUGUGCUGCAGCAAGUUACAAACAACUGUAUUUGGUUGUGAAGGAACAUAUCGGCUUUUGUUCAGGUUAUAAAACAAUGAUAAACCUUUUUCUAUUACAAUUAGAUAGAUUUCAUGGUUGUGCAAUCAUUUAAAGAAAAAUAAUAAUCUGAAGAAAUUGGAUUUUAUGUAUUUUUUAUUUCAUUUUAUUUUAUUUUUGUGUUUGAAAUUGUGAGGUUGGAAUCUUGGCAAGUGCUACAAAAUGGGAAUUGCAAAAGGAGUUCCAACUUCUGAAAUAAACAGAGUUGUUUAACCCAUUUACUCAACAAUGGUAAACGGGUAUAUGUCGGCGGAAGUGGCGAAUGCGAUUGAGAAGAAUAAGAAGAAGCUUGUGGAAGAAGCGGGUGGCGGAUUGAAGGACGGGAGGAUGCUGCUGCUGCUGUUCCGACCGCGUAAAUUUUUAUACAUGUGUUCGGCCACAUGGAGCAGCACUUUAUAGCUUAUUGAUACAGCUGGUGCUUUCUGUGGUUAGUUAUGGUGUAAAAAGCAACAUGCGUCAAAAAAAGAUAAUAGUCGCGACAACACACGGGCAUCAUCACUGCGUUGCUGUGGGGAUGUGGACCACAUAAAUACUACCAUGAAGAUACUGUGCCUCAUCCAAUAAUAAUUGACAUUCAAUUGGCAACUUCAAUGGAAUUAUCAAUCAUGCAAUGAUGAUGGAGAUUUGAAGCUGAUCAUUAUUCCCAACGGCCGAUUUUUUAGUGUGGGACUAAAUUGAACUCUUGACGUGUGGAGGCAACAAAAGUCAAGGUGAAUAAAUUAUGGACAAUCGAGGACUGAAUUCUAUUUUGGCUACAGAGAUUAAGUGGUUGAAUUCUAUCAACUUACUGGUACUUAUUAUAUUUUGGCUACAGAGAUUAAGUGGGUGAAUUCUAUCAUGGCAAACUUAGUGGUACUUAUUAAUAUCUGAAGUUUGUUUUCUUUAAUUCAAGUUUUUAAGUUGUUGAUGGAUAAUCUGUUCACAUUGCAUUUCAUUUGUUUAUGAACCAUAUAUGAGUCAUAUUUAGAAAUU